GAGAUGCUCUUGGCAGCUGAAAGAGCAGUCAUGGGGUGGAGGCUGGGGGCUGUGUGUGGAAAUUCCCACUCUGAGGCAGCUUUGGAAGUUCCCAGAUCCCCUGGAAGAGCUGUGCUUGACUGGAGCCUGCAUUCCAGAUGCUGGGCCUGCAGCCAGGGAGCUGUCACGUGGGGCUGUGCUGGGAACAUCUUAGCGUAAGUCUGGGUCAAGCGCCUGCUUGGAGGUGCACGAGAGAAAGGCCUGGGGAUAGUGGGGGAGGGAGAAGUGAGGAUUGUGUUUUUGUGCCCCCAGAAUCCUCAGUGCCUCUGGGGCCCCCUCCCCAUUAGCUCACAGAUGAGGAAUGGAAAAUUCUCCUGGUGAAUAAUCCUUCCUUCCUUCCUCCUGCUGGAUGGACAUCUGGCCUGAAUCCUCCAUGUGUGGUUUGGUCAUCGCCGCAGACUCCCACUCAGUCUUGUUUGAAAGAAAGGAGAAAUGAAAGUGAACUUUUCAGAAAGAACAUCACAUAAGACAUUAUCCUUGGACAUCAUCCACCUGUUUCUCUGAAGGCCAAGAACAAGCCAGGACCAAGGUGACACUGAAGACUAAUGGCAGUGGUUGUGCAGAAGCAGAGGAACCUGUGGAGGGGAUGAGUUGCCUUGGAAAGUGAUCCCUGUUGCUGAAGAAGACCAUCUGUCAAGGAGUCCAUGGAAAGCACUGAAAAAAAGCAGCUUGGUUUAGGAGUUAAAAGCUAAGAUAUCACCUUAGUAACACAGUUGCUGAGGUUUUAUUGUUGGUGGUGGGUUGUUCUCAAGAGUUUGGUCCUGGGCUACGUCCCUGCAGUGAGCACUCGGUAACUGUCAGCUCAGUAUCCCAUAUGGGCACCAGUUGUGUCCCGGCUGCUCCUCUUCUGAUCCAGCUCUCUGCUAGUGUCCUGGGACAGUAGUGGAAGAUGGCUCAAGUGCCUGGGCUCCUGUGCCCACAUGGGAGUCCUGGAGGAGGCUCCUGGCUCCUGGCUCCUGGUUUCAGAUCGGCUCAGACCCAGUCAUUGUGGCCAUUUGGGGAGUGGACCAGGGGACUAAGACGACCUCUCCCUCUGUCUCUCCUCUCUGUUUGUAACGCUACC